rnacentral:rRNA from 1 species
GUAGGUGGCAAGCGUUGUCCGGAAUUAUUGGGCGUAAAGCGCGCGCAGGCGGUUCUUUAAGUCUGAUGUGAAAGCCCACGGCUCAACCGUGGAGGGUCAUUGGAAACUGGAGAACUUGAGUACAGAAGAGGAAAGCGGAAUUCCACGUGUAGCGGUGAAAUGCGUAGAGAUGUGGAGGAACACCAGUGGCGAAGGCGGCUUUCUGGUCUGUAACUGACGCUGAGGCGCGAAAGCGUGGGGAGCAAACAGGGAUUAGAUGCCCUGGUAGUCCACGCCGUAAACGAUGAGUGCUAGGUGUUAGGGGGGUUUCCGCCCCCUUAGUGCUGCAGCUAACGCAUUAAGCACUCCACCUGGGGAGUACGGCCGCAAGGCUG